rnacentral:rRNA from 1 species
ACUUAAAUUGAAGAGUUUGAUCAUGGCUCAGAUUGAACGCUGGCGGCAGGCCUAACACAUGCAAGUCGAGCGGUAGCACAGAGAGCUUGCUCUCGGGUGACGAGCGGCGGACGGGUGAGUAAUGUCUGGGAAACUGCCUGAUGGAGGGGGAUAACUACUGGAAACGGUAGCUAAUACCGCAUAACGUCGCAAGACCAAAGUGGGGGACCUUCGGGCCUCAUGCCAUCAGAUGUGCCCAGAUGGGAUUAGCUAGUAGGUGGGGUAACGGCUCACCUAGGCGACGAUCCCUAGCUGGUCUGAGAGGAUGACCAGCCACACUGGAACUGAGACACGGUCCAGACUCCUACGGGAGGCAGCAGUGGGGAAUAUUGCACAAUGGGCGCAAGCCUGAUGCAGCCAUGCCGCGUGUGUGAAGAAGGCCUUCGGGUUGUAAAGCACUUUCAGCGGGGAGGAAGGCGAUAAGGUUAAUAACCUUGUCGAUUGACGUUACCCGCAGAAGAAGCACCGGCUAACUCCGUGCCAGCAGCCGCGGUAAUACGGAGGGUGCAAGCGUUAAUCGGAAUUACUGGGCGUAAAGCGCACGCAGGCGGUCUGUCAAGUCGGAUGUGAAAUCCCCGGGCUCAACCUGGGAACUGCAUUCGAAACUGGCAGGCUAGAGUCUUGUAGAGGGGGGUAGAAUUCCAGGUGUAGCGGUGAAAUGCGUAGAGAUCUGGAGGAAUACCGGUGGCGAAGGCGGCCCCCUGGACAAAGACUGACGCUCAGGUGCGAAAGCGUGGGGAGCAAACAGGAUUAGAUACCCUGGUAGUCCACGCCGUAAACGAUGUCGAUUUGGAGGUUGUGCCCUUGAGGCGUGGCUUCCGGAGCUAACGCGUUAAAUCGACCGCCUGGGGAGUACGGCCGCAAGGUUAAAACUCAAAUGAAUUGACGGGGGCCCGCACAAGCGGUGGAGCAUGUGGUUUAAUUCGAUGCAACGCGAAGAACCUUACCUGGUCUUGACAUCCACAGAACUUUCCAGAGAUGGAUUGGUGCCUUCGGGAACUGUGAGACAGGUGCUGCAUGGCUGUCGUCAGCUCGUGUUGUGAAAUGUUGGGUUAAGUCCCGCAACGAGCGCAACCCUUAUCCUUUGUUGCCAGCGGUCCGGCCGGGAACUCAAAGGAGACUGCCAGUGAUAAACUGGAGGAAGGUGGGGAUGACGUCAAGUCAUCAUGGCCCUUACGACCAGGGCUACACACGUGCUACAAUGGCAUAUACAAAGAGAAGCGACCUCGCGAGAGCAAGCGGACCUCAUAAAGUAUGUCGUAGUCCGGAUUGGAGUCUGCAACUCGACUCCAUGAAGUCGGAAUCGCUAGUAAUCGUAGAUCAGAAUGCUACGGUGAAUACGUUCCCGGGCCUUGUACACACCGCCCGUCACACCAUGGGAGUGGGUUGCAAAAGAAGUAGGUAGCUUAACCUUCGGGAGGGCGCUUACCACUUUGUGAUUCAUGACUGGG